rnacentral:lncRNA from 1 species
AGAGUAUCUGAGAGCAAGAUGGAGGUGGAAAUACAGCAAUGGUUCAAGGUGCCUGCAGAGGGGUCUGUCCUCUGUUUCCCAGGCAACCACAUUGUUAGGGAAUGCAUAAGAAAGGCACUCACCUCUCGGUUUGGCAAUGUUUCAAUCAUCAGUGUCACAGAUAGUCUCAGUGUUGUGGCGACCUUCCUAACCAACAUUAAGUUUGAGGAUGCUCUCAAAGACCGUACCAGCGAAGAGUUCAGCAAUAUGGAACAACAGAUUACUAGAGUGAUUGAUGAAAUCUCCAAAACCAAAUAUGGAGAAGUCAUG